CCCCAUCCAGCCUCCUUCCCCCAUCCAGUCGCCAUCCCCCAUCCAGCCUCCUUCCCCCAUCCAGCCUCCUACCCCCAUCCAGCCUCCUUCCCCCAUCCAGCCUCCUUCCCCCAUCCAGCCGCCAUCCCCCAUCCAGCCGCCAUCCCCACCUUCGGAAUGGGCAGCAGAGGCCCCGGAGGCACUUCUGGGAGGUGAUCAAGUGGCACAGGACAAUGUUGCAGUUGGAGAUCCCACAACUUUUGCGGGCAUUCUGGCCACCAUGCGGCAAAAUCUCGAAGCCUUGCUGGCUAAUGUGGACCAGCUGCAAAAAUUUGCAUAAUUUUUAUUUAUAAACAUUUUAUAUUUUCAGUUUAAAAAAAAAAAUAUAUGACAAACAAUAAAAACUAUAUAUUUCAA